rnacentral:rRNA from 1 species
ACAGUAUAUAGUGAAUCAUCGAAUCUUUGAACGCAUCUUGCACUUUUCAGGUCUCCUGGAAAGUAUACUUGUUUGAGUAUCAUAAACAUUAACUCUAGAGGCUUCUUGCCUCUGGGACUUGAGACGUCGAGCUUCCGUUCGUGUCUUUUAAUGGAUAUGAUUAGUGAUUCCUCUUGCAAAAGGGGAAGCCUUUAAAUCAAAUGUGAGAUAAACAUUUCAUAAAGAGAUUUCUAGGUCAAGCUAAACUACGCUCAGAGCAGUGCUGCUUGCAGCCCUGUUCACUUUGAACAUUGAUCUCAAAUCAAGUAAGACUACCCGCUGAACUUAAGCAUAUCAAUAAGCGGAGG